rnacentral:rRNA from 1 species
GACGAACGCUGGCGGCGUGCCUAAUACAUGCAAGUCGAACGCAGUGGGGACGGGUGAGUAACACGUGGGUAACCUCCCAUCAGAGGGGAUAACACUUGGCAACUGGUGCUAAACCGAUACGGCUGGAGGGAGCCGCGGUGCAUUAGCUAGUUUGUGAGGUAACGGCUCACCAAGGCCACGAUGCAUAGCCGAGCUGAUGGUGGGCUCGGCCAAACUGGAACGGAGACACGGGCCAGACUCCGACGGGAGGCAGCAGUAGGGAAUCUGCGGCAAUGGAGGAAAGGCUGAGGGAGCAACGCAGCGGGAGUGAAGAAGGUUUUCGGAUCGUAAAACUCUGUUAGUAGAGAAGCGGUAUCAAACCAGAAAGCCACGGCUAACUACGUGCCAGCAGCCGCGGUAAUUC